GAAGAUGGGUGUUAACCAUUUAUAUGUACUGGCACAUUAACUCCAUUACAUAAACUUGCAUUCCUUAGCUCUGUGUGCUUGACUGCCUCUUCAACAGUCAAGAAGACCGUGGAAAGAGAUCAGGAAAAUGGCAAUGAGGGGACCAGAGGUCGAUGACACCCUCAAGGCAAAACUGAGAAUUCUUAUUAACCACCAAAACGCUCUGAUAA